rnacentral:rRNA from 1 species
UAGUGGAAGCGUCUGGAAAGGCGCGCGAUACAGGGUGACAGCCCCGUACACAAAAAUGCACAUACUGUGAGCUCGAUGAGUAGGGCGGGACACGUGGUAUCCUGUCUGAAUAUGGGGGGACCAUCCUCCAAGGCUAAAUACUCCUGACUGACCGAUAGUGAACCAGUACCGUGAGGGAAAGGCGAAAAGAACCCCGGCGAGGGGAGUGAAAAAGAACCUGAAACCGUGUACGUACAAGCAGUGGGAGCCUCUUAAUGGGGUGACUGCGUACCUUUUGUAUAAUGGGUCAGCGACUUAUAUUCUGUAGCAAGGUUAACCGAAUAGGGGAGCCGAAGGGAAACCGAGUCUUAACUGGGCGUUAAGUUGCAGGGUAUAGACCCGAAACCCGGUGAUCUAGCCAUGGGCAGGUUGAAGGUUGGGUAACACUAACUGGAGGACCGAACCGACUAAUGUUGAAAAAUUAGCGGAUGACUUGUGGCUGGGGGUGAAAGGCCAAUCAAACCGGGAGAUAGCUGGUUCUCCCCGAAAGCUAUUUAGGUAGCGCCUCGUGAAUUCAUCUCCGGGGGUAGAGCACUGUUUCGGCAAGGGGGUCAUCCCGACUUACCAACCCGAUGCAAACUGCGAAUACCGGAGAAUGUUAUCACGGGAGACACACGGCGGGUGCUAACGUCCGUCGUGAAGAGGGAAACAACCCAGACCGCCAGCUAAGGUCCCAAAGUCAUGGUUAAGUGGGAAACGAUGUGGGAAGGCCCAGACAGCCAGGAUGUUGGCUUAGAAGCAGCCAUCAUUUAAAGAAAGCGUAAUAGCUCACUGGUCGAGUCGGCCUGCGCGGAAGAUGUAACGGGGCUAAACCAUGCACCGAAGCUGCGGCAGCGACACUAUGUGUUGUUGGGUAGGGGAGCG